AAGUCGUAACAAGGUUUCCGUAGGUGAACCUGCGGAAGGAUCAUUACCUAGAGUUGCGGGCUUUGCCUGCCAUCUCUUACCCAUGUCUUUGAGUACCUUUACGUUUCCCUCGGCGGGUUCCGCCCGGCCCGACUGGACAAUUUUAAACCACUUGCAGUUGCAAUCAGCGUCUGAAAAAACUUAAUAGUUACAA
rnacentral:misc_RNA from 1 species